rnacentral:rRNA from 1 species
UAACGGCGAGUGAAGCGGCAAAAGCUCAAAUUUGAAAUCCUGCGGGAAUUGUAAUUUGAAGGUUUCGUGGUCUGAGUCGGCCGCGCCCAAGUCCAUUGGAACAUGGCGCCUGGGAGGGUGAGAGCCCCGUAUGGCGCACGCCGACUCUUUGCACCGCGGCUCCGACGAGUCGAGUUGUUUGGGAAUGCAGCUCUAAGUGGGUGGUAAAUUCCAUCUAAAGCUAAAUAUUGGCGAGAGACCGAUAGCGAACAAGUACAGUGAUGGAAAGAUGAAAAGCACUUUGAAAAGAGAGUGAAACAGCACGUGAAAUUGUUGAAAGGGAAGGGCUUGCAAGCAGACACGGUUUUACCGGGCCAGCGUCGAAAAGGGGGGAGGAACAAGAACUCGAGAAUGUGGCGCGCACCUUCGGGCGCGCGUGUUAUAGCUCGUGUUGACGCCUCCAUCCCUUUUCGAGGCCUGCGAUUCUAGGACGCUGGCGUAAUGGUUGCAAGCCGCCCGUCUUGAAACACGGACCA